rnacentral:rRNA from 1 species
UAGGGAAUCUUCCACAAUGGACGCAAGUCUGAUGGAGCAACGCCGCGUGAGUGAAGAAGGUUUUCGGACCGUAAAGCUCUGUUGUUGGUGAAGAAGGAUAGAGGUAGUAACUGGCCUUUAUUUGACGGUAAUCAACCAGAAAGUCACGGCUAACUACGUGCCAGCAGCCGCGGUAAUACGUAGGUGGCAAGCGUUGUCCGGAUUUAUUGGGCGUAAAGCGAGCGCAGGCGGAAGAAUAAGUCUGAUGUGAAAGCCCUCGGCUUAACCGAGGAAUUGCAUCGGAAACUGUUUUUCUUGAGUGCAGAAGAGGAGAGUAGAACUCCAUGUGUAGCGGUGGAAUGCGUAGAUAUAUGGAAGAAUGCCAGUGGCGAAGGCGGCUCUCUGGUCUGCAACUGACGCUGAGGCUCGAAAGCAUGGGUAGCGAACAGGAUUAGAUACCCUGGUAGUCCAUGCCGUAAACGAUGAGUGCUAAGUGUUGGGAGGCUUCCGCCUCUCAGUGCUGCAGCUAACGCAUUAAGCACUCCGCCUGGGGGAGUACGACCGCAAGGUUGA